UACAGAGGUCUCAAGCGUUGUUCGGAUUCAUUGGGCGUAAAGGGCGCGUAGGCGGUCAGCACAAGUCAGUUGUGAAAUCUCCGGGCUUAACUCGGAAAGGUCAACUGAUACUGUGCGACUAGAGUGCGGAAGGGGCAACUGGAAUUCUCGGUGUAGCGGUGAAAUGCGUAGAUAUCGAGAGGAACACCUGCGGCGAAGGCGGGUUGCUGGGCCGACACUGACGCUGAUGCGCGAAAGCCAGGGGAGCGAACGGG
rnacentral:rRNA from 1 species